CUAGCGACUUCAGAGUUUGAUCCUGGCUCAGGACGAACGCUGGCGGCGUGCCUAACACAUGCAAGUCGAACGGAACUCUUUGGAUCAAGGCUUCGGCCAAGUGAAUUUGAGUUUAGUGGCGAACGGGUGAGUAACGCGUGAGCAACCUGCCUUUCAGAGGGGGACAACAGUUGGAAACGACUGCUAAUACCGCAUAACACAUUUAGGGGGCAUCCCUUGAAUGUCAAAGAUUUAUCGCUGAAAGAUGGGCUCGCGUCUGAUUAGCUAGUUGGUGGGGUAACGGCCCACCAAGGCGACGAUCAGUAGCCGGACUGAGAGGUUGAACGGCCACAUUGGGACUGAGAUACGGCCCAG
rnacentral:rRNA from 1 species